rnacentral:pre_miRNA from 1 species
AUGUAGAGCAAUCUCUGUCUAAGUAGGGGUAAAUUACUCUUUAAAAAAAAAAAUCCUAGAUAGUUUUCCCUUCAAGUAAAGCGUCUUGU